rnacentral:lncRNA from 1 species
UUGAUUUGUGGUUAGAUAAAUAAUUAAUGAUGUUUUUGUUUAGAAAAUAUAAAAAAUUAAUGAUUUCUUAAUCUACGUGUAUAAUUCUAAAACGACUUAUAUUAAAAAACGGAGGGAGUACCAAUUAGGAUAUUUGUUUGUUUAUUUCAUAUGUAAAAAUAUGAUUUACUAGACAUGUUAAUUAUAGUAGCUGCAUAUUAUUCUAUAUAGAUUAUAACAUUUAUAUCAGUUAUAAAAAAAAAUUAAUAUGUUAAGUUGUAUGAGUUAUACAAGUUUUACCCAGUCAAAUGAAAGAAUGAAAUAAGAAAAAUCUUGUGGCUGUAAUUGAAAAAAAAAAAUGAGCAUGUGGUUGAGAUUAAAAGAAAAGAGAGAGAAAGAAAUAUAUAUGUAAUCCUGUGGCUAAGAUUAAAUCGUAGAUAAGAUGAUCUAAUGGUCAUGGUUGAUACUUCAUUAAUGGCAUUUUUGUAAAUAUCAUAUUAUCUUCUUUCCUUAUGAUCCGACGGUUCAGAUUUAAACAGAGAAAAAACGAUCCAAUG